rnacentral:rRNA from 1 species
UAUUGCGCAAUAGGGGAAACUCUGACGCAGUGACGCCGCGUAUAGGAAGAAGGUUUUCGGAUUGUAAACUAUUGUCAUUAGGGAAGAUAAAAGACUGUACCUAAGGAGGAAGCCCCGGCUAACUAUGUGGCAGCAGCCGCGGUAAUACAUAGGGGGCAAGCGUUAUCCGGAAUUAUUGGGUGUAAAGGGUGCGUAGACGGAAGAACAGGUUGGUUGUGAAAUCCCUCGGCUCAACUGAGGAACUGCAACCAAAACUAUUCUCCUUGAGUGUCGGAGAGGAAAGUGGAAUUCCUAGUGUAGCGGUGAAAUGCGUAGAUAUUAGGAGGAACACCAGUGGCGAAGGCGACUUUCUGGACGAUAACUGACGUUGAGGCACGAAAGUGUGGGGAGCAAACAGG